rfam:Aspergillus clavatus NRRL 1 1099423829805 genomic scaffold, whole genome shotgun sequence.
UCCGAUAUGGUGUAAAGGCUAACAUCGCCGUCUUUCACACGGCAGCUCGGGGUUCGAUUCCCCGUAUCGGAG